GAUGAACGCUGGCGGCGUGCUUAACACAUGCAAGUCGAACGGAGUGGAGAACGGGUGAGUAACACGUGGGUGAUCUGCCCUGUACUUAGGGAUAAGCUUGGGAAACUGGGUUUAAUACCGGAUAGUAUGGGAUGAGCUCGCGGCCUAUCGGGUUGUUGGUGGGGUAAUGGCCUACCAAGGGGUGGACGGUUAGCCGGCCUGAGAGGGUGUACAGCCACAUUGGGACUGCGAUACGGCCCAGACUCCUACGUGAGGCAGCAGUUGGGAAUAUUGCAUAAUGGGCGCAAGCCUGAUGCAGCGACGCCGCGUGGGGGAUGAAGGCCUUCGGGUUGUAAACUCCUUUCGCUAGGGACGCGGUACCUGGAGAAGAAGCACCGGCUAACUACGUGCCAGCCGCCGCGGUAAUAC
rnacentral:rRNA from 1 species